rnacentral:lncRNA from 1 species
UCAUUUUCACACAAAUCAUCUUCAUUUAAUUCGUCUUCUUCCUCUUAUCCUUCGACUCCUUCGUUUUCAUCAAGAUAUGUUUCAUUCUCUAUGUCUAAAACAAUAGCAGGAGUCAAGCUUGAUGCUUUUGCACUCAUUUUUCUCUUUGACAUCUGUCUUGUAUAUGUUUGUAAUUCUCCAACACCUGAAGCUCUUGCCACAUCUCCCCAUGUCAAUCUAUCAUCUUCAAAUACAAGCUCGUCUUCAGCAUCUUGCAAGUUAGCACCCAUUUCUCCUACUAACCACUCAUUUGAAUCAUCAAUAUCAUGCAAUGAGAUUGAAUCAAAUCUAUUUUGCAAAUCAUAACGAGCCUUCAAAGCUUGAUUAUACUUUACGUAAAUAAGAUCGUGCAAUCGUUGAUGUUCCAACCGAUUUCUUCUCUUCGAGUGAAUAUGUCAUGUCAUAUAAUUUAAAAAUAUAUUAAUACAUCUAUCUAAAUAAAUAAAUUAAUUAAAAUAAAAAAUAUUUAGUGAUCCUUACAUGCUCAAAGACACUCCAG